GUUAGCAUGGUGUAGUGGUUUUAGCAUUGGACUAUGAUUCUUUAGGCCAGGGUUCAAAUCCCAAGUCAGUCA